GAGAGGAGAAAGUAGAAAGAUGGGGAGGAGUAGAAAGAGUGUGAUUGGGAGGGAGAAAGAAGAGACAAAGGUUUGAAAGGGCCUGAAGGGAAGAAUGAAAGAUAAGCUGAGGAUGGAGAGGAGAAAUGAGAUUCCAUAACCUGUUGACUUUAGGUGACUGAGAAAUUCCAGAGGGAUCUAACAAAGACAGAGGAUUUAUCAUCUGCUGAAUGCCUGAGAGAUCUCCAAGCUUCCUCACCUGUAAAGAGAAGAGAGAGAAGGAGAAGACCACUUACCUUUGUCAUCUUCCAUCGCUGUUCUCCUGAGCGUACCAUCUGUUCUGCUUCCCGUGAUCCCGAAGGAACAUCAAGGGACUCCUUGGACCCCCUCUCCAAAGGCUUGUCAUUAGCCAGAGGAUUGAGGUCCCAAGCACCU